GUUUGAGAUUGACUUAUAAAUAAUGCAUUCCAUUUUCUUUCUAUAUGUAUCUGAUAAUUGCCCCCAGAGCUUGGCGUCUUAUUCUCCAUGCAAUUUGAUCAAAUACCUGAGCACAUGUGCUCGACAAAUUGAGAAACGCUUACGAGUCCUGAUGGAGUAAAAUAAAAGAAAUGCUUGCAUUGAUUAGGAUGCAAUGAUGAACGCGUUGUUUAUGCUGCAGAUAGUACCCUGUUUUUAGAAAGGCAGAUGCUUAAAAUUGAAUCAAUUUGCUGGCAACCUUUUUGUAUGUACACUCAGAGCUUGUUAACAAGGAUCUGACAUAUGUUAUAAUUAUUCUGGAUGAAAUGGGC